UACGUAGGGGGCAAGCGUUGUCCGGAUUUAUUGGGCGUAAAGAGCGUGUAGGCGGCCAGACAGGUCAGCUGUGAAAACUCGAGGCUCAACCUCGAGACGUCGGUUGAAACCGUCUGGCUAGAGUCCGGAAGAGGAGAGUGGAAUUCCCGGUGUAGCGGUGAAAUGCGCAGAUAUCAGGAAGAACACCCGUGGCGAAGGCGGUUCUCUGGGACGGUACUGACGCUGAGACGCGAAAGCGUGGGGAGCGAACAGG
rnacentral:rRNA from 1 species